rnacentral:rRNA from 1 species
UACGUAGGGUGCGAGCGUUGUCCGGAAUUAUUGGGCGUAAAGAGCUCGUAGGCGGUCUGUCGCGUCGAUCGUGAAAACUUGGGGCUUAACCCUGAGCUUGCGGUCGAUACGGGCAUGACUGGAGUUCGGCAGGGGAGACUGGAAUUCCUGGUGUAGCGGUGAAAUGCGCAGAUAUCAGGAGGAACACCGGUGGCGAAGGCGGGUCUCUGGGCCGAUACUGACGUGAGGAGCGAAAGCAUGGGGAGCGAACAGG